AACAUUCAAAUUAGACCCCAAACCCAAACUCACAAAAACCCUCCAAAUUCCCCGCCACCGCCCUACCCCAUGGCCACCACUUCUAAUCUUCCAUCCUCCACAGCCUCCGCCGCCACCACCACUACACGUCCCUUCGCCUCCACCACCACCACUACUACUGCUGCUGCAACCGUUAAGUCCCCCUCAAGGCCUCAAACUCCCCACGCUUCUCCAUUCCCACUUUACCACUACUACGCAUCUCAAAACAUUCAAAUUAGACCCCAAACCCAAAC
rnacentral:misc_RNA from 1 species